AGCAGAGAAGAAACAAAUCCCUUCAAUUCCCAGCACUCACAUGCCUUAGGUACCCCAAGGGGCUUUGGGAACCCAAACUUACACUCAGGCUGCUCAAAUGUGAAAACUGUGGGCCCUCUGGGGUCUGGUGCUAACCUGGGAGGGUUGCUGAACCGGCUGCUGGGCCAUCAGGUGGCCACGGACUUGGCUGAGCAGGCUGAGACACAGACGCAGACACACCCCUGCGUCUCACCCUGAGGGUCAUGGCUCUUUCUUGUGCUCCUUCUGGCCUCAUAUCCUUCACCUGUUCAACAGCAGGAGGGUCAGCCUAGGCAGGCAUGUCUCAAAGUGUGUGCUAUGGAAUACCAGCCAUCAUAUGCAAUUACUCGCCCAGUAAUGCCUGACUCUUUGCAACCCCAUGGGCUGUAGCCCACUAUCAUGGACUGUGGUUAAUGAGGGGAGGAAAGAUUCUGUGGUGAAUGGAGCAUUGAGUUCAGUUAUUUUUGCAGCUAACAACAUUUGGUGAACGUAGUAGGCACUGGGUUCAGCACUUUACAAACAUUUUCUCAUUGACCUCUUACAAUUACUCUGAGGCCCUAUGGCUGGCUGCAUUUUACAGAUGAGGAAACGAAGGCUUGGCAAGGUUAGAUUUACCCAAGUUCUCUCAACUGUUAAGCGGCAGAGUCAUGAUUCAAACCCAGGUGGCCCAUGUCCAGAUCUCUUGUUCUCAAUCAGGUUGAAUUAACAGGGUAUGGUGAUGGGUGACAUUGUUGGGGGAGAAAGGGGAAGGAAGAAUUCACAUGCCCCCCUCCUUUUUUUUUUAUUCAACUCAGUGUCAUAUAGUGUCCUGGUGGGUGGUGGAGAAAUACAAUGAAAAAAAAAAACAAAAAACAAACCACCCACUCUACCCCUUAGAACUUCAGACAAGGAGGAAGAUUAAGCAAAGCAUGAAGCAUGCUGAGUUGGGUAUGGGGAAACAAGUCUUCCUGAAGUGGUCUCUUUUUAAACCAAGACUUAAGGGACCAUUAAACAUGGGAAGAGGGCAGGAGAAAUGGUGUGUGCAAAGACCAGGAGCUGAGGUAGAGCAUGGAGAUUCAAAGACACGGUGGACUGAAGGGGCAUGGGUCUGGGAGAUGAGAGCCUGGAUGUCAGCAGAGGGCAGUCACUUGAGGUCUUGACUCUGAGGCUUCUAGAUUGGGACUGGGACAAGGGAGGGGAGAGAAUUUGAGGAAAUCCUGGGGGAACAGUGGUCUGCUGGCUGGAGCUAGGAACAUGGGUGAGGGCAAAGGAAGUGGUGGUAAUGAGCUUGGUUUUGGUCUCCCGAGUGCUGAGAGGGGGGUCACCGUUAAGGUCUUUUCCACUGCUGACCUUCUCAACUUCCCUGGAAGGAAGGAACAUCUCCCUGCGGCCCCUCCACCCCCAAAUAUUCUGGGCAGGAAGGAGCGGGAUCUGUUUUGUCAACGCAGCUUGCAAUAAAGAGUCUCAUUCAGGGAGGCAAACAGCUGCUUGACUAUUAAUAGGCAGGGCCUCAGCCGCAGCCUGCUGGGAGGGCUCGGCAUGCAGUUCUGGAAAGGUGAAUCUCUUCCAUCUGCCUGUCUGGAGUUUGCACCCCAUGGUGGAACAAUAGGCCGGGUGCUCAUUUCUCGGAAGACAGGCGCCUGAGGAGGAGGAAAAAAAGGACCACUUCUCCUCACCGCCGGCCCUCAGGAGUGUCUAAGCCAUUCUCCCUACAUUAAUCAUGGAAAAGACAGCAUGCCCCAGCCCGGGAGGGAAAAAGUGCCUUUUUCAUCUGUCUGGCUACAUGGGUCUCAACAUGAAAGUUCAGCUCUGGCUAAGCUCUCGCUCUUGACAGCCGUCCCGCCGCCUCUGACCCCUCUCGGGCUCUUUCAACCACACCCGCAAAAGAUCCUUGCGGCAGGAAGAGGAGACAAAAGGGCCAGAAGGAACCAGGGAGGCCAACCAAAGAGCAAGCAUAAUGAGCCCGCACUGCCAGGAGGUGGAGGCAAGAGUGAGAGGGGACACUGAGGGGCACUUUUGCCUCCAAAUGAGGAAACAAAAACCCCACAGAAGGUGAGCACCAAAUCCUGAAUGCCUUUUGCAACCAGAGGAAGAGCUGUUUGAUCUUCAUUAUUUUCUCUUCCCAAACUGAAAACCUCAGCAAGAUCAGGGAGUCUGGGGUAGGUAUCAGAGAUACUGAGGACCCCUCUCCCCAAAGCUGAUGCAAAUUAUUGUGAAUGUGCUUUCUUGGGGAGAGGAUCCCUAAGCUGUGUUAUGUUCGAAAAGAUGUCUGUGGCCAGAACUCCUGAGAUAUACCUACCCUCCCAUUGUGUUGAUAGGAAAAUCGAGGCCCAU
ensembl:lncRNA